rnacentral:rRNA from 1 species
AUUGAACGCUGGCGGCAGGCCUAACACAUGCAAGUCGAGCGGAAGAAGGGAGCUUGCUCCUGGAUUCAGCGGCGGACGGGUGAGUAAUGCCUAGGAAUCUGCCUGGUAGUGGGGGAUAACGUCCGGAAACGGGCGCUAAUACCGCAUACGUCGUGAGGGAGAAAGUGGGGGAUCUUCGGACCUCACGCUAUCAGAUGAGCCUAGGUCGGAUUAGCUAGUUGGUGGGGUAAAGGCCUACCAAGGCGACGAUCCGUAACUGGUCUGCGAGGAUGAUCAGUCACACUGGAACUGAGACACGGUCCAGACUCCUACGGGAGGCAGCAGUGGGGAAUAUUGGACAAUGGGCGAAAGCCUGAUCCAGCCAUGCCGCGUGUGUGAAGAAGGUCUUCGGAUUGUAAAGCACUUUUAGUUGGGAGGAAGGGCAGUAAGUUAAUACCUUGCUGUUUUGACGUUACCAACAGAAUAAGCACCGGCUAACUUCGUG